rnacentral:lncRNA from 1 species
GUUAAGUUACUUUAUGAUCAAUUUGUCUGGAGAGUCUAUCCAUGUACAUGAUAAAGAUGUAAGGGGUGAGAGGUCCCCUUGUUUAAUACCUCUAUAAGGGUGGAAGAGGUAUGUACUAUUGUGAUAUAGCAGGAUCGUGAUUGAUUCCUAAGUGAUGCCGGACAUGAUGAGCUUGAUAGUGCAUUCCAAAAAAUUGUAGAAGAUGAGGGUGAUCCUAAUGAUGAACAAUUAAAUCAUGUCAAAGGACUUUUCACGGUCAAUUUUGAGGAUCAUAUUUGAACAUCUCCUCCACAUGCUAUCAAAAUGGGAAAUGUAAUCCUCGAUAAUGAUAGCAUUGUCAGCAGCUCUCCUGUUGGAGAGAAAGCUAGCUUGGUUGGGGUCAAUGAUAGUGCUAAGGUGCAGCUUAAGUAUGUUGACUAUGAUUUUGGUGGCUAACUUAUACAUUGUGUUGUA